UCCUACGGGAGGCAGCAGUGGGGAAUAUUGCACAAUGGGGGGAACCCUGAUGCAGCAACGCCGCGUGAGUGAUGACGGUCUUCGGAUUGUAAAGCUCUGUCUUUGGGGACGAUAAUGACGGUACCCAAGGAGGAAGCCACGGCUAACUACGUGCCAGCAGCCGCGGUAAUACGUAGGUGGCGAGCGUUGUCCGGAUUUACUGGGCGUAAAGGGAGCGUAGGCGGAUUCUUAAGUGGGAUGUGAAAUACCCGGGCUCAACUUGGGUGCUGCAUUCCAAACUGGAUAUCUAGAGUGCAGGAGAGGAAAGCGGAAUUCCUAGUGUAGCGGUGAAAUGCGUAGAGAUUAGGAAGAACACCAGUGGCGAAGGCGGCUUUCUGGACUGUAACUGACGCUGAGGCAUGAAAGCGUGGGGAGCAAACAGGAUUAGAUACCCUGGUAGUCC
rnacentral:rRNA from 1 species